rnacentral:sRNA from 1 species
GGUGCUUCGGGUUACUCGCGUGAAGUUGCAAGUUGCCGAGGUUUCCCUCCAAGCAUGUUUGACCGUAAGGUCGAUGCUUGGGUGUUCUAUUCCUUCGACAGGGAUAAUUAUUUUGACGAAAGGAUCUGACGUAGAAGCGAGAGCUGCCAAGGCGUCUGCAGAGAUGUUUUCUCCUCUGGGGAUCCUAGUUAAUUCAAACAAUUCGAACUGUUGGGUCAAUGUUUUGACCAGUUCGAGGUACGCUUCCAUGCACUCGUCUUUAGCUUCGUAUUCCCCGUGGAACUGGCUAGUGACGUGUUGGGAGUCGAUGUGGGC